GAGCUGUUGGUCCAGUGGUAAGACGUUCGCACUCAACGGAGGGUCGAAUAUUGUGAUACUGCUUGCGCAAGCGAAUUCGAGCUGACUUCUGGCCGAAAUGUCGAAACGGACGGAUCUUGAUGCUUCCCGUCGACGUAGAAAGUGGUCAAUAGACUGACCGACGAUGACCUGCGAAAGACGCGUGUUCGAGUCACGCACAGCUCA